rnacentral:rRNA from 1 species
AUGGAGAACGUGCAACACGACAGCGAUGAUGACGAACAUGUUGAAGUUCGUGCAGGUGGUAAGAAGGGCAAGGAUGCACCAGAUGUCCCCCCACCGGACAAAGUCAAAGAAUAUACGGCCGCGAGAGGCGAGCGGGUGUUGCCCUCAAAGAGGGGGAGGGAUCCACAGGAUGAUGGGCAGGGUUCCCUUGGCAAGAGGUCUAGGACCGAUCCUGUAGCUGCUAGGAGGAGUGAGGUGACAGCUGGUGGACGAGCAGUUACGAAUAAACAGGCACCAACGGCUACCUGUGCUUCUGCUCGGUUGAACAAAGGUGCCCCCAUUGUUGGUGACACCCAUUCCACCAGGUCAUCUCCUCGUAAGACGACGUCCAACAUCGGGGAUCCUGUCGUGUUGCCAGACUUGAGAAAGCCAAUCAAGAAGCGCGGUCAGCAUAACAUUAGGGACCCACUCGAACGUCUUCAUUCAAAGUUGUCAACAGGUGGCAACUCAGAUGUUCAUGAGGCACCAGUCGACAAAACUGCUGCUGCAUUGUCAACUGUUCCCACAAACUCUGAUGCAAGCGGCCGACCAUAUCCGUCUGUUGCAGAUGUGCAGGCUAGAACAACAGGCAUCCAUACAUCAGGGAGUGACGAGUCAGUAUCUGCCAGGACAGCUGAAAUAUUGCCCACUCUUCUGGCAAUAAAGGAUGCUGCUGUCAGCCAUGCCACCCCAUCAGCAAGCGUUGAAGUGGAUGCCCCCCGAGUCCAACCUAAGCAAGGAAGAUCCCGCUCAUCUGACACUGAAUCCAAGCGCGUGCGUGGUGCCACUCUUCUGUCCACGACAGAAGUGGCUGAGGCGGCAGUUCAUAAUGAUAUGCCAUCUACAGGUGAGAGUCUUGGCACAAUAGCUCCAGCUCCUGGCGGUGUAGAUAUUUCUAAGGCCAUUGUUUCACGUGCUGGUCUUCCAUCUAGGCGUCGUAGCCCCCGCAAGCAAUCAACAGACAUAUCCAACGCACCAGCUGCAGCUAGGAGCAGCAUAGAUGAGUCUGGUUACGUCCCUGCAUCCACAUUGUUCCCGCCACCUGUCAAAAGCAAUGUUAUGGAGAAACCAGAAGACCGGAGUACAACUAAUGCAGGUGCCAAGCCGGGUACGAGUGAUGAAGGUGAACGUCCGGAGCAGACUGCGCCUUUACCCGCAGUGGAAAUCCCCAGCUUAAAUCUGCGCACUUCCAAGCUCCCAGUCAACAUCGGUGUCUCCUACAGCCCCAACAAGAGGAUUGUCAACAAAUCUACGACCGUCACCGCUGACAGCACGCCCCGCCCUACGAACAAGCCUGAUUAUUCUACAGCGGCGGAUUCAGAUAUGUUUGUUGAUCUUUCACCGUUGGAUUCUGCCCUGCAAGUUGUUCGCGGUCCGGCUAGUAGGCAUGAGAGGCACCCAAUGGCCUUCACCCCACUGAGCUUUAGCCUUGGCGUCAGUCAAGAUCAACCAGUGGUUCAAGAUCCUAUGCCAGUUGUCUUUGCUUUUCCGGGAGGCAUGCCCGCAAUGAUGGCGCAGCCAAUGGUUGAGGGCAGGAAGGCUGUCAAGUUCGCAGAGCCGAUCGUCCAAGGUACAUUUCUUCUGCGUAUCCUAAACCACAUUUUGAUCCUUGCAGGCACCCCUGAGGAGAUUUUGCCGUCUCUUGAUCAAGCUUACCGCAGAAUUGAGGAGGCAGCAUUGCAGAGGAGGUCCACACGAGGUCCAUAUCAUUAG